rnacentral:tRNA from 1 species
GCACCGGUGGUAUAAUGGCUAGUAUCUCAGCCUUCCAAGCUGAUGAUCCGGGUUCGAAUCCCGGCCGGUGCA